rnacentral:rRNA from 1 species
UACGGGGGGGGCAAGCGUUGUUCGGAAUUACUGGGCGUAAAGGGCUCGUAGGCGGCCAACUAAGUCAGACGUGAAAUCCCUCGGCUCAACCGGGGAACUGCGUCUGAUACUGGAUGGCUUGAAUCCGGAAGAGGGAUGCGGAAUUCCAGGUGUAGCGGUGAAAUGCGUAGAUAUCUGGAGGAACACCGGUGGCGAAGGCGGCAUCCUGGGUCGGUAUUGACGCUGAGGAGCGAAAGCCAGGGGAGCAAACGGG